rnacentral:piRNA from 1 species
UGCCAGUGGAGGAGUCUGAGCCCCA